rnacentral:rRNA from 1 species
GUUCGGAUUGUAGGCUGCGACUCGCCUACAUGAAGUUGGAAUCGCUAGUAAUCGCGAAUCAGAAUGUCGCGGUGAAUACGUUCCCGGGUCUUGUACACACCGCCCGUCACACCACGAGAGUUUACAACACCCGAAGUCAGUGGCCUAACCGCAAGGAGGGAGCUGCCUAAGGUGGGGUAGAUGAUUGGGGUGAAGUCGUAACAAGGUAAC